GGGCCGAUAGAUAUGGCGAUAGGGCAGAUAUAUAUCGCGACAGGGCCAAUGUAUAUAGCGAUAGGGCCAGCAUUCUGAUAGAGCCUGUAGAUAUCACGAUAGGGCCUAUAGAUAUCGUGAUAGGGAUCAAAGGUAUCGUGGUAGAGCCUAUAGAUAUCACAAUGGGGCUCACAGAUAUCGCAAUAGGGCCAAUAGAUAUCGCGAUAGGGCCGACAGAUAUCGCGAUAAGGCUGAUACAUAUCGCGAUAGGGCCAAUAUGAACAGCGAUAGGGCCUAUAUUGCGAUGGAGCCUAUAAAUAUCAUGACAGGGCCUACAGAUAUCGCGAUAGGGAUCACAGGU
ensembl:lncRNA